CCUACGGGGGGCUGCAGUGGGGAAUAUUGGGCAAUGGGCGCAAGCCUGACCCAGCAACGCCGCGUGAAGGAAGAAGGCUUUCGGGUUGUAAACUUCUUUUGACAGGGAAGAGAAGAAGACGGUACCGGUCGAAUAAGCCAUGGCUAACUACGUCACAGCCGCCGCGGUAAUACGUAGGUGGCAAGCGUUGUCCGGAUUUACUGGGGGUAAAGGGCGUGUAGCCGGGUUGAAAAGUCAGAUGUGAAAUCCUGCGGGUUAACCGCAGAACUGCAUUUGAAACUGUUUGUCUUGAGUACUGGAGAGGCAGGCGGAAUGCCUAGUGUAGCGGUGAAAUGCGUAGAUAUUAGGAGGAACACCAGUGGCGAAGGCGGUCUGCUGGACAGCAACUGACGGUGAGGCGCGAAAGCGUGGGGAGCAAACAGGAUUAGAUACCCCGGUAGUC
rnacentral:rRNA from 1 species